rnacentral:rRNA from 1 species
GGCGAACGCUGGCGGCGUGCUUAACACAUGCAAGUCGAACGGUAAGGCCCUUUUGGGGGUACACGAGUGGCGAACGGGUGAGUAACACGUGGGUGAUCUGCCCUGCACUUUGGGAUAAGCCUGGGAAACUGGGUCUAAUACCGAAUAUUCCUUGCUGGUCGCAUGGCCUGGUGGGGGAAAGCUUUUGCGGUGUGGGAUGGGGCCCGCGGCCUAUCAGCUUGUUGGUGGGGUGAUGGCCUACCAAGGCGACGACGGGUAGCCGGCCUGAGAGGGUGUCCGGCCACACUGGGACUGAGAUACGGCCCAGACUCCUACGGGAGGCAGCAGUGGGGAAUAUUGCACAAUGGGCGCAAGCCUGAUGCAGCGACGCCGCGUGAGGGAUGACGGCCUUCGGGUUGUAAACCUCUUUCAAUAGGGACGAAGCGUGAGUGACGGUACCUAGAGAAGAAGCACCGGCCAACUACGUGCCAGCCGCCGCCGUAAUAC